UAUCAUCUCUUGCCCUUUCUUCCCUCCAGGCAUCUCCCACACUACUUCCCAUGUGAUUGUGCAGCCAUGGUGCUCCCUCCCUGGUCACAAGAUGGCUGCAGCAGUUCCAGCUAUCACAAUCUCACACCAAUGUCCAGGCAAUGCUGCCUCUCCAGGUGACAGGACUUGGGAAUCUGUACAGAAAGGAGCCUUUGCAGGUGUGGUGCUGAAGAACCAUUCACCAGGAAAAAGCUGAACAAACAGAUGGACCUUCCUCGGAAUGUCAACCAACAAGAGCCCUGCUCCUGCUGACAGAGGUUGUAAAUUUUACUGACGACCUCUCUAGAAUGUCAUCUCCACUGCCCAGUUUCCCUGGGAAGCUGCAGCUAGAAAUAACAAAGCCAAAGUCUAUCUUUGUUGCCUUUCUUUAGGAGGCCCAAUAACCCGUAACACUAGCACCAUAAGUUGAGCACUACUCUUCAUGCUCCUAAAAUUUUCUCCUCCUAACAUAGUUUCAGUGGUUACUGUCAUGAUCUAACCAUUUCAGCUACAUUAAUCUACACAAAGCUUCUGCACAGCAAUGAAAACCAUCAACAAAAUGAAAAGGCAACCUACAGAAUGGAAGAAAAUAUUUGCAAAUUAUAUAUCUGAUAAGGAGUUAAUA